rnacentral:rRNA from 1 species
ACUCCUACGGGAGGCAGCAGUGGGGAAUCUUGCGCAAUGGGCGAAAGCCUGACGCAGCGACGCCGCGUGCGGGAUGACGGCCUUCGGGUUGUAAACCGCUUUCGGCAGGGACGAAAAUGACGGUACCUGCAGAAGAAGCCCCGGCUAACUACGUGCCAGCAGCCGCGGUAAUACGUAGGGCGAAGCGUUGUCCGGAUUUUAUUGGGCGUAAAGAGCUCGUAGGCGGUUCAGUAAGUCGGGUGUGAAAAAUCUGGGCUCAACCCAGUGCAGCACCCGAUACUGC